rnacentral:rRNA from 1 species
AUAAGCGGAGGAAAAGAAAUUAACUAAGAUUCCUUCAGUAACGGCGAGUGAAGCAGGACGAGCCCAGCACUGAAUCCGAGCGACCGAAAGGCGCGAGGAGUUGUAGUGUACGGGGUCCCCAUUCCUUCGUCCAACGUUCGCGUGCCAAAGUCGCAUGGAAGGUGCUGUCGCUCCACAGCGGGUGUCAGACCCUUGUGGCUGCGCGUUCGGACGCAGGUCUGGCGGGACCUCGAGAGUCGGGUUGUUUGAGAUUGCAACCCAAAGGUCGGUGGUAAGCGCCAUCGAAGGCUAAAUACGUCCACGAGACCGAAAGCGCACAAGUACCGUAAGGGAACGUUGAAAAGGACUUGUGAUUGAUAGUUCAAAGUACGUGAACCUGCCUAGAGCGAAACGAGUGGCACCGCAAUAGCGGCUAGCGGCGUUCAGCCCGUGUCGUCUUUCGGCGCUCGUCGGCAGCACCGGGCGCGGCUUCGGCCGUGCUCGUGUGCCGCCCGACGCCGAGGAUGCCGGGUGCAUUCGCCGCCACGCCGUGCGUCACGAUCGCUUUCGCGCGAGUUGUGGUCGAGGCGAUCGGGCGGUCGGUAAUUCUUCCGACCGGCAGUCGCUUCGACUCGCGAGCUUGCGAGGGAGCGGUGAAGGAUCCCCGCGCGCAUAUUGGGCCUCGUGUCCGCACGCGGCCGUGUCGUCCUCGCGACGAGACGACUGCUGCGGGCGGCUCGAGCGCGGGCGUCGAUCUGUGGCGUUCGAGUCGGACAG